rnacentral:siRNA from 1 species
UCAUUUUCUAAUUUUCAGCCCAAU